rnacentral:tRNA from 1 species
ACCUGGCUGGCUCAGUUGGUGGAGCGUGCAACUCUUGAUCUCAGGGUUGUGGGUUCGAGUCCCACAGUGGGUG